AGAAAAUGAUCAAGAUUAGCAAAUAAAUUCUUAUUAUUUUGAGUUUAUAUAAAGGAUCUACAAGAUAGUAAAAUGUAUAGUCAUCACCAUUAGAAGCAACACUAAAGAAAAGUUAUAGUUUUACCAGGUUAAGGGGAUGAUUCACUCACAAGGAGAUUUAGUGUGAAUGCCACUCACGGCUACUUGGGUCGUGACAAACAACUUCUUGAUCUGUGGUCAACUAUGAAGAGAAGAAGGCUACAAUUUCUUAAAUUCAAGAUUAAUCUUUUAUACGUGAAGUAUUUUCAAUUAUAGUCGUCGUUGCUCACAUUCACAUGUAGACUAUAUGUUGUUCAAACAUAAAAAAAAAAGCCAGAUAAUUAUCAAGCUGAAUAUUUGGUAUGACAAUUGUAUUUAUGUAAACUCAGCAUUCAUCAAUUUGAGCUUGUAAUUCCCCCCUUUAAAUUUAAUGUAACUCACUGCAAGCAUAUUUUAAUAUAUUUAUAUCGUCUAAAACGUUUGUACUAA